GCAGGCGCGAAAACUUUACAAUGCCGGCAACGGCGAUAAGGGGACCUCGAGUGCCAGGUUACAAAUCUGGCUGUCGUGAUGCCUAAAAAGCAUUGCAUAGCAAGGGCCGGGCAAGACCGGUGCCAGCCGCCGCGGUAACACCGGCGGCUCGAGUGGUAACCGUUGUUAUUGGGUCUAAAGGGUCUGUAGCCGGCCGGAUAAGUCUCUUGAGAAAUCCAGCAGCUCAACUGUUGGGCUUUCAGGAGAUACUGUCUGGCUCGAGGCCGGGAGAGGUGAGAGGUACUUCAGGGGUAGGGGUGAAAUCUUGUAAUCCUUGAAGGACCACCAGUGGCGAAGGCGUCUCACCAGAACGGACCUGACGGCAAGGGACGAAAGCUAGGGGCACGAACCGGAUUAGAUACCCGGGUAGUCCUAGCCGUAAACGAUACUCGCUAGGUGUCGGCCACGGUGCGACCGUUGUCGGUGCCGUAGGGAAGCCGUGAAGCGAGCCACCUGGGAAGUACGGCCGCAAGGCUGAAACU
rnacentral:rRNA from 1 species